GACGAACGCUGGCGGCGUGCUUAACACAUGCAAGUCGAGCGCUGAAGCGUGGAGCUUGCACUGGGGGGGUUAGCGGCGGACGGGUGAGUAAUACGUGAGUAACCUGCCCUUGACUCUGGGAUAAGCUUGGGAAACUGGGUCUAAUACUGGAUAUGAUAUGCCACUGCAUGGUGGUGUGGUGAAAGGGUUUUUUUGGGUUUGGCUGGGCUGACGGCUUAUCGGCUUGUCGGGUGGGUAAGGGCAUACCAAGGCGAGGACGGGUAGCCGGCCCGAGAGGGGAGCCAGGCACAAUGGUACUGCGACACGGCGCAGACUCCAACGGGAGGCAGCAGGGGGGAGCAUUGCGCAAUGGGCGGAAGCCUGAUGCAGCGACGCCGCGUUCGGGAUGAUGGCUUUCGGGGUGUAAACCUCUUUCAGAGUGGAAGAAGCCGGAUUGACGGUACGUGCAGAAGAAGCGCCGGCUAACUACGUG
rnacentral:rRNA from 1 species